AUGGUUGGUCUCUCAUUGAUCUUCACUGUAACAGCUGCAGUAUCACAACACAGAGAGGUUUUUGUACCAGCAGUAAUAGUGAUUGUAUCACUGUGGUGGACUUUUGGUAGCGGCACCAGACUUGAUGUUGGAAGUAACAGGGCCCCCACCCUCACCGUCCUGCCCCCCUCUAGUGAGGAGCUGUCCAGUACAACAACAGCCACACUGACGUGUCUGGCCAACAAGGGCUUCCCCUCAGACUGGACCAUGAGCUGGAAAGUGGACGGGACCAACAAGAACCAGGAGACCAGUUCUAGGGUCCUGGAGAAGGAUGGUCUGUACAGCUGGAGCAGCACCCUGACUCUCACUGCCCAGGAGUGGACCAAGGCAGGAGAGGUGACCUGUGAAGCCCAGCAGAAAUCCCAGACUCCAGUCACCAAGACCCUGAGGAAGGCUGACUGUUCUGGGUAGGACCCCUCAGUCACACACCCCUGUGGAGAGAGGCUGCUGGUUCCUCUGCUUUGACUCUGUUCUGAGAUCAGAUGUUCUUUGUCUUAUUGAUCACUGUAAACUAACAGAGGGCUUUGCUUGAGUUCAUGUGUCAAUCCUCUCUGUAGACUGAGGUUGUAUCAGUGUUAGAUGUGAUGUGUUCUGUUUUAUUACAAUUAGAUGCUGUAGGAAUGUUUGCUUUGAUGAAUACAUGAAAAUAAAGAUUUCCCUUUGGAACAAGUA